AUUUACACGGACUUCCGCGGUCAUUCCAUGGAACGCUGACGCCAAAUCGUUGGUCGUAAUAUUCGAAAACGGAAAUCAAUCUUCUAUAUUGUGCUAUAAUUAUUUAUUUCUAACGACGUCUAAAAUAAUCAACUGAUCUUCUCGUAACAGCCACAUCAUUUUAUCGCAUAGUAAGUUUGGAUCUUAGGCAGAGCUCUCAGUGUGUGUUAGGUGUCAAGAAAAAGAUUCUUCCUCAUCAGUGGACAUUACUUACAAUGACUUGGCGCAGUUAACUACUCCUUUUCUGCUUCUCCAUUUCAUUGUCCUUCGUUGAUGGGCCCUUUCUUCCUGCUCGCACGGUCGUCAUCUUUGUUCUCAUCGACUUCUUAUCUUUCGUCGUACCUUUUAGCUGUGUGAGUGAAGAAAGAAGAAGUUUCUCAAGUUUCUGAAGUCGAAGGUAAUACUU